rnacentral:tRNA from 1 species
GUGGCUGUAGCUCAAUAGGUAGAGCACAGGAUUGUGAUUCCUGGUGUCGUGGGUUCGAUUCCCAUCAGCCACCCCA